ensembl:piRNA 21ur-1355 ncRNA
UGAAACUCUACUUUCAGGAGG